rnacentral:lncRNA from 1 species
GCCUGGCAUUCAUUGUUUAAAUGAAAUAAAUAAGCUGUGGCUAAGCAAGGCCUACAGUCCUUUAAUUCCUGUACUGGAAAAGCAGAGGCAGAUGUAUCUCAGUGAGUUGGAGGCCAGCCUGAUCUACUUAGCAAGCUCUAGGACAUCCAGUACCUGUCUUGGAAAAACAAACAAAAACUUUCAUUUAAAUGUGGGCUCAUGUCAUAUGUGCUGUUGCAGUUCCAGAAGUUCGAUUCACUAAUGUCCCAGAAAGGACACAAAUAGAUGUAGACAGAAUACCUUUACAGAGGUUAAAAUUGAAAUGCAUAUUCUGUAGACAGCGGGUUAAAAGGGUUUCUGGAGCCUGCAUCCAGUGUUCCUAUGGCCGCUGCCCAGCCUCUUUCCAUGUUACAUGUGCCCAUGCUGCUGGAGUACUCAUGGAGCCUGAUGACUGGCCUUAUGUGGUAAACAUCACUUGCUUCCGACAUAGAGUCAAUUCAAACGUG